AUUGAACGCUGGCGGCAGGCCUAACACAUGCAAGUCGAGCGAGCGGCAGAGGGGUGAGUAAUGUAUGGAGAUUUGCCCGAUCACGGGGGAUAAAUACGGGAAACGGUGGCUAAUACCGCAUACUAUCGGAUGAACCCAUAAGGGAUUAGCUAGUAGGUGGGGUAAAGGCUCACCUAGGAGACGAUCUCCAGUUGGUCUGAGAGGAUGAUCAGCCACACUGGAACUGAGACACGGCCCAGACUCCUACGGGAGGCAGCAGUGGGGAAUAUUCCACAAUGGGCGCAAGCCUGAUACAGCCAUGCCGCGUGUGUGAAGAAGGCCUUCGGGUUGUAAAGUACUUUCAGCGGGGAGGCGUUACCCGCAGAAGAAGCACCGGCUAACUCCGUGCCAGCAGCCGCGGUAAUAC
rnacentral:rRNA from 1 species